rnacentral:rRNA from 1 species
GAUCAUGGCUCAGGAUGAACGCUGGCGGCGUGCCUAACACAUGCAAGUCGAACGGACUUACAUUGAAGCCUAGCGAUAUGUAAGUUAGUGGCGGACGGGUGAGUAACGCGUGGGUAACCUGCCUUGUACUGGGGGGGACAACAGUUGGAAACGACUGCUAAUACCGCAUAAGCGCACAGCUUCGCAUGAAGCAGUGUGAAAAACUCCGGUGGUACAAGAUGGACCCGCGUCUGAUUAG